rnacentral:tRNA from 1 species
GGGACGGUAGCUUAAUAGCAAGAGCGCUGGAUUGUCGAUCCAGAAGAUGUGGGUUCAAUUCCCAUGCGUCCCGCCA